AACGCUGGCGGCAGGCUACACUGCAGUUGAAGCGCGCCUUCGGGUGAGCGGCGGACGGGUUAGUAACGCGUGGGAACGUGCCCUUCUCUACGGAAUAGCCUCUGGAAACGGAGAGUAAUACCGUAUACGCCCUUUGGGGGAAAGAUUUAUCGGAGAAGGAUCGGCCCGCGUUAGAUUAGGUAGUUGGUGGGGUAACGGCCUACCAAGCCUACGAUCUAUAGCUGGUUUUAGAGGAUGAUCAGCAACACUGGGACUGAGACACCGCCCAGACUCCUACGGGAGGCAGCAGUGGGGAAUCUUAGACACUGGGGGCAAACCUGAUCUAGCCAUGCCGCGUGAGUGAUGAAAGCCUUUAGGUCGUAAAGCUCUUUCUCCUGUGAUGAUCAUUGACCGUAGCCAGGUAAAGAAACCCCGAGGUAAAUCCGUGCCAGCAAGCGCGGAAAAAAAGAGAGGGGUUAGCGUUGUUCGGAGAUUACUGGGCGGUAAAGCGCGCGUACGCGGAUUAGAAAGUUGGGGGUGAAAUCCCGGGGGUCAACCCCGGAAGUGGCUCCAAAAAUGCUAGUCUAUAAGUUCGAGAGAAGGUGAGUUGGAAUUCCCGAGUGUAGAAGGUGAAAAUCGGUAGAAUAUACGGAAGGAACACCCAGAUGGGGAAGAGCGGGUUCACUGGGUCGAAUACUGACACAUGAAGUUGCGAAAGUGUUGGGGAGCACACAGGAUUAGAUACCUGGCUAUCCACCCCGUACACGAUGAUGCCGACGUCGGGAACAUUCUAUCGGUGACCACUUAAGGAUUAGCAUUC
rnacentral:rRNA from 1 species